rnacentral:lncRNA from 1 species
GGGUCCAAAUUAGAAGAUAAAUGGAAUCAAGUAUGAACACGACUUAAAUAUCAAGGGCUCAGAUUAAAAGAUCACUCUUUAUAAAGAUCUAGUGAGAACAUGACUUAUUGAUCAAUGGAGGAGAAGCAAUAUAAAGAUCUAAGGGUCUUUAUUCAUGCUUCCACCUCUCUUCUCAUGAAACUCUAGAGUCUCCAACGCUUAAAACCCUAGCCUCCACUCUAUAAAUACACACCCCCUUCUCUUCCAAAGGGACAUCAGCCCCCUUGUGGGGUUCUUCAU